GCGGAAAUGGCGGAAUUGGUAGACGCGCCAGGUUGAGGGCCUGGUGAAAGCUAAUUUCAUGCAGGUUCAAGUCCUGUUUUCCGCA
rnacentral:tRNA from 3 species